rnacentral:rRNA from 1 species
UAUUUGGUCUCAAAUCAGGCAAGACUACCCGCUGAACUUAAGCAUAUCAGUAAGCGGAGGAAAAGAAACUAACAAGGAUUCCCUCAGUAACGGCGAGUGAAGCGGGAAAAGCUCAAAUUUAAAAUCUCGACGGUUUUCCGUUGCGAAUUGUAGUCUGAAGAAGGCGAUCUAUGGUAAGAUAAUUGACCAAGUCUCCUGGAAUGGAGCGCCAGAGAGGGUGAGAGCCCCGUAAAGUUAAUUAUUUUGCCUUAAUUUGAGAACCUUUCUAAGAGUCGAGUUGUUUGGGAAUGCAGCUCAAAAUGGGUGGUAAAUCUCAUCUAAGGCUAAAUAUUGGCAAGAGACCGAUAGCGAACAAGUACCGUGAGGGAAAGAUGAAAAGCACCUUGAAAAGGGAGUUAAAUAGUACGUGAAAUUGUUAAAAGGGAAACGAUUGAGAUCAGUAUUGGACUAAAAAUUAAGCUGAUGCUUUACGUGUCGGUAGCAUUUUUAGUCCGAGUCAAUGCCAGUUUUAGUUGUCGAAUACGUACUUGAGGAAGGUGGGGUCUACUUCGGUUGGCUCUUUAUAGACUCGAGUGUCUGCGAUAAUCAUGACUGGAAGAGUAAGUGACGCGGAUAUUAAUCUAUCAAGUAGGCUUAUUAGUCAGCAAUGCUGACUAAUAGUUCAAUUGAUUGUAAGAUAUCAACUUAACUACUCGUUUUUGACGAAAUGGUCUUAAACGACCCGUCUUGAAACACGGACCAAGGAGUCUAACAAUCUUGCAAGCAUUAGAGUGGCAAACUCGAGAUGCGUAAUGAAAGUGAAAGCCUGCGAACCAUUAAGGCGCAGCAGGGACCGGCCUUGAUUUAUUAUGACAGGACCGAGUAAGAGUAAAAUUGUUGGGACCCGAAAGGCGGUGAACUAUGCCUGACUAGGGCGAAGCCAGAGGAAACUCUGGUGGAGGCUCGUAGC